CAGAAAAGUUAGAGGAAGGAAAGGGAGGAAAGGACCAUUUUUUUUCUAUGAAGACUUUGGCACAUACCUGUUCUGCUGGAUAUUUCCCACAUGCAAGUGUGAACAUGAAGACAGAGCAGGACCUUAUUUUUCCUUGAAGAAUAUGCUGACAUGAGUAUUUUUUUGUCGGAAUUGAGUUUUUAAAAAGCUGUGCUGAAUGAGAAGGAGAAAGCAGUGGUGGAAAGUUUCAGCACCAUUCU
rnacentral:lncRNA from 1 species